UGGGGAAUAUUGCACAAUGGGCGCAAGCCUGAUGCAGCCAUGCCGCGUGUGUGAAGAAGGCCUUCGGGUUGUAAAGCACUUUCAGCGAGGAGGAAGGGUGGUGUGUUAAUAGCACAUUGCAUUGACGUUACUCGCAGAAGAAGCACCGGCUAACUCCGUGCCAGCAGCCGCGGUAAUACGGAGGGUGCAAGCGUUAAUCGGAAUUACUGGGCGUAAAGCGCACGCAGGCGGUUUGUUAAGUCAGAUGUGAAAUCCCCGCGCUUAACGUGGGAACUGCAUUUGAAACUGGCAAGCUAGAGUUUUGUAGAGGGGGGUAGAAUUCCAGGUGUAGCGGUGAAAUGCGUAGAGAUCUGGAGGAAUACCGGUGGCGAAGGCGGCCCCCUGGACAAAGACUGACGCUCAGGUGCGAAAGCGUGGGGAGCAAACA
rnacentral:rRNA from 1 species